AGCAUCCUAAUUAUAACUAAUUAUUUUGGUGGUCAAACCAGUGUGUAAAUAAGUGAAUUUUAACAUUCCCUUAAAUUUACUACAUGCCUUGCUAAAUCAGUGGUAUUUACUGAGCUACUGGAUUUUAUUUUAUUUUAAUGUUUUGCAUACACUGCAAUAUUAUUUUUCUGAAUUUCACCCUGCUUGUGUUAUACAGAUUAAUUGGUGAUUUUAUAUCAAUUUAUUGUGGUUCUUCUGUUUCUUGACAGGUACAUGAUGCAUGUGUCUGCUAUCUUGAAUAUCAGUGAGAAUUGCAUGCCCACAAGGUUUUCUUAUUCGAUAACAUGAUUUGGUGUUUGAUGCUAAGUUGCAAAGCUCCAUGGUAUUUAAAGAUUUUUCCUACUGCUACAGCCUGGUCACAACUAAUGUUUUCAUGGCCUACUGGCUAGAUGAGUUUACUCCCUUUCUGGAAGCCCGGUCCACUGCAGGCUGCAAGCAUUAGACUAAUUUGGAUCCUUAAAACAGAAGUGAUUUUCAUAGUAUCUAAAUUUUAUUUUGAGUUGUUGAAAUCAGGUUAAUAUUGUUUACUCACCAUUCAUAAUAUGUAAUAAUUAGAGGUCAAGCUAAACACCGAACUCGCUGCCGUCGUUGGGAAGCACAGCAGAGGUUGCAGGAUGUUGCAGUGAUGCAUGCCAACUACCAGAGUUUGUCACCAAAAAGGUAACUCAUAUCUUUUGCAUUGAAUUUAUUUUGAAUUGCGCAGUACCGGCUGAUGGUCAGGACACAAGACAUGGGCUGCAGGCUGUCGUGGUGCUCAUCUCGGUGGCAUUGAAUUUACUCGAAAAUGUGCAGCUGCAGACCUAUAGUAAUCAUGGUUAAAUAUAUUCUGAUUGGGUAGUUCAAAAUUUAGUAGUAGUAGCUGAUUGGAGCAAUGUAAAAGAAAGAUUCCCCUCAAUUCUGGCUCUUUUGGUAGGUAAAUGUUGAACCUUAGGUGUCAUUUUUCUUUCAUACAGUCAACUUCUGUAUUUUUCAUGUGCGCUUUGAACCAUUGUUCAAGCUUGAGAUCUUUUUGUUGGUUCAAACGAGAUUGCUUUGCAGCUAUAUCUUCCCAUAUUUCUAUCUUAUACAUUGUUUAGAGAGCUAAAUUUACCGUUCCUGAUAAUACUGGAUUUUGUAUUAAUUGUGUGCUUAUGCUACCAUGCAGGUAAAGUAGCUUGGCACUGGCGCUUAUAUUUGUUUAGCUCACAAAUUAGUUAGGGAAUGAUGAGACGAAAUCCUUGGCCAAUAGAGCCCUAAUCUUACCGUUCACUACUUGGUCAACUUACUUCGUUGCUUUUUUCUAAACUUCUACUCCCAAAUAUCCUGGUGGGAACUCGAAUCUUUCAACACUGCCUUUUUCGUGCUGCAGAAAUGACUGUUUAUUCAAAGGAACCGAACCAAGUCUUUACAGAUUUGGGAGUAUCCUCGAGAAGUUGAUGCAUAAGGUCUCCUUGAGAGCGGAAAGAAGAGUAUAUGAUGACCUACAGACCUGGAUUGCAAGAUAUAGGUAUCCUUUUGUAUUUAUGCAUCUCUACAUACUCCCCUACAUUUCCAGUACAGUUUAUUUGUCUCCCAUCUUGAGCUCCUGCCGGUAGGUCUGAGGUUGGUCGCUGGCCCAUGUCUCUGUUGCUUGAAGUUGCUGUUCAACGGAUGCGAGGCGUACCGCUCCAAAGCUGAUCUGUUCUCGCUCUUUGUUGCUUCGCCUCGCUAGAUUUAAUAUGUUUUCUGGUUUACUUCUGUAUCAAUUUCUCCUUUUUGCCACUAGAAGUGAGUCCUUAAAUUGGUGAACUGACUUAUCAAUUUCAGGUUAUUUAAAUAGAAGAUGGAAACAUCCCCAAGGUCCCAACAGUACAGCCAGGGCAUCUGCUGGAGUAGGAGUACAGGUUGCCGGCCUCCAUCUUGGCAUAAGGUCUGUUAUCUUAGCAAUCCCUUGCUGUGUCUGGUUCUCGGUAGAACCAAAGCAUAUGGCCAAUAGAUGGAUUUACGAUGGGAUAAAAAUGGUUAAUUAGCUGGGUUUGCUAAGCUAUGUUUUGUUUCUUCUCUGUCCCUAUACUCCAUUGAAGGGAAAAAUUAGAGUUGGAAUUCUCUAAAAUAAUUCUGCAGGUGUUGUUUGUUUUGUACUUUCUAUAUAUGAAAAGAUGGACAUGUUGUGUAGUUUACAGUAGCAAUUGGAAAAUUAGUACGGGUGCAUGCCAACAUUGAGAGUUAAGGUUCAGAAGUGUUAGCCUGUUGAGUGUUGACUUCAAACAUCUUCUAUUAAGGUUCUCCUUGGGCUGUUUGGUGCAGUGAGUUUAGAAUUAAGUCUUUUAUUUCUACAAGCAUAAUUUCGAGGCACACCCUGAAUAAAAAUUGUAGACCAUGUUCCAGGCUUUCCAUAUAAUAUUUAUUUGUGCAAUUUGGUUGGACACAUUCAAAUAGCGCCCAGUUUAUUGAUCUGUCCAGAAUAUAGUUCUUCUAUAGACAGUAAACUUCAUUACAACUUUGGAUGGACACUUUUUACUUAGUCUUGGGCAUAGGAACGUUGCUAUUUUCUGAAUGUUAUGAAGUGGUGAUUUGAUAUAUGUUUGGAUAAGAGUUAUGGCUCCAUGGACAUGGUUUUCACAUGGUGUUUCUAUAAUCAUUCUAGCUAUUUUUUACUCACAGUCAGAGAUGACACAAUUGUUUGUGGAAAUUUUGAUGUGAGAUAUCAGACAAUGUUUCCCAUAGAAAGAUUAAAUAUAUUUUUUUCAUUCUGCUCGAUGGUGAAAAUUCAUGUCAAGAAGAUCAAAAGAAUGCACACACCAAUGAACUGGCUGAAAACUGCAUACCUUUCGAAAAGCUGGGUGAAAAUUUCAAAUAGAGGUUGACAGAAAUAUCAAAUAAUCAAUGGCUUGCAUGCAUAUUAUUAUGUUCCCUUACAUAUCCUUUGUGAGAUAUAUUCUUGCUUUUCCCACCAGACUCUUUCGGAAAUUAAAAUACAUACCGACUGAUGGAUCAAUCGAAAAAAUGAUUUACUUUCUCGGACUGCAACCAAGAAAGCACAUAUGUUCUUUAUGUACAAUGCAACCUUGGCUAAUAUGAUACCCCGUCCUUUCUUACCAGGUUUAAGUCAUAGUUGUCAUUGAGAUUUCAUCCAGGGUCUUGAUCAUGGCAGCUUCCAGAUCAAUUGUACAACACUAUAGCCACGAAGUGUGAAGUGUGAAGUGACGGUGACCUACCUCUAUUGGUAUGUCAUAUACAUCAAUCUAUUGGAAAAGUCUGGCUAUGGGGAAAACACAUGCCCUAUGUACA